rnacentral:tRNA from 1 species
AGCCCCGUGGUGUAGAGUAGGAUCCCUUGGGAUCUAUGGCCCGCUGGACCCAGGUUCGAGUCCUGGCGGGGCUACCA